rnacentral:rRNA from 1 species
GACGAACGCUGGCGGCGUGCUUAACACAUGCAAGUCGAACGGAAAGGCCCUGCUUUUGUAGGGUGCUCGAGUGGCGAACGGGUGAGUAACACGUGAGUAACCUGCCCUUGACUUUGGGAUAACUUCAGGAAACUGGGGCUAAUACCGGAUAGGAGCUCCUGCUGCAUGGUGGGGGUUGGAAAGUUUCGGCGGUUGGGGAUGGACUCGCGGCUUAUCAGCUUGUUGGUGGGGUAGUGGCUUACCAAGGCUUUGACGGGUAGCCGGCCUGAGAGGGUGACCGGCCACAUUGGGACUGAGAUACGGCCCAGACUCCUACGGGAGGCAGCAGUGGGGAAUAUUGCACAAUGGGCGGAGGCCUGAUGCAGCAACGCCGCGUGCGGGAUGACGGCCUUCGGGUUGUAAACCGCUUUCGCCUGUGACGAAGCGUGAGUGACGGUAAUGGGUAAAGAAGCACCGGCUAACUACGUG